CGAUGUAGCAAUACAUUGGUGGCGACCGGCGCACGGGUGAGUAACGCGUAUGCAACCUACCUAUCAGAGGGGAAUAACCCGGCGAAAGUCGGACUAAUACCGCAUAAAACAGGGGUUCCACAUGGAAAUAUUUGUUAAAGAAUUAUCGCUGAUAGAUGGGCAUGCGUUCCAUUAGAUAGUUGGUGAGGUAACGGCUCACCAAGUCCACGAUGGAUAGGGGUUCUGAGAGGAAGGUCCCCCACACUGGUACUGAGACACGGACCAGACUCCUACGGGAGGCAGCAGUGAGGAAUAUUGGUCAAUGGGCGAGAGCCUGAACCAGCCAAGUCGCGUGAAGGAUGAAGGAUCUAUGGUUUGUAAACUUCUUUUAUAUGGGAAUAAAGUGAGGAACGUGUUCCUUUUUGUAUGUACCAUAUGAAUAAGCAUCGGCUAACUCCGUGCCAGCAGCCGCGGUAAUAAGGAGGAUGCGAGCGUUAUCCGGAUUUAUUGGGUUUAAAGGGUGCGUAGGUGGUUAAUUAAGUCAGCGGUGAAAGUUUGUGGCUCAACCAUAAAAUUGCCGUUGAAACUGGUUGACUUGAGUAUAUUUGAGGUAGGCGGAAUGCGUGGUGUAGCGGUGAAAUGCAUAGAUAUCACGCAGAACUCCGAUUGCGAAGGCAGCUUACUAAACUAUAACUGACACUGAAGCACGAAAGCGUGGGGAUCAAACAGGAUUAGAUACCCUGGUAGUCCACGCAGUAAACGAUGAUUACUAGCUGUUUGCGAUACACAGUAAGCGGCACAGCGAAAGCGUUAAGUAAUCCACCUGGGGAGUACGCCGGCAACGGUGAAACUCAAAGGAAUUGACGGGGGCCCGCACAAGCGGAGGAACAUGUGGUUUA
rnacentral:rRNA from 1 species